rnacentral:rRNA from 1 species
AUUGAACGCUGGCUGCAGGCCUAACACAUUCAAGUCGAACGAGUGGCGGAAUGGUGAGUAAUGUCUGGGAAACUGCCCGAUGGAGGGGGAUAACUACUGGAAACGGUAUCUAAUACCGCAUACCAUCGGAUGUGCCCAGAUGGGAUUAGUUCGAAGGUGGGGUAACGGCUCACCUAGGCGAAGAUCCCUAGCUGUUCUGAGAGGAUGACCAGCCACACUGUAAGUGAGACCCGCUCCAGACUCCUAGGGGAGGCAGCCGUGGGGCAUAUUGCACAAUGGGCGCAAGCCUGAUGCAGCCAUGCCGCGUGUAUGAAGAAGGCCUCCGGGUUGUAAAGUACUUUCAGCGAGGAGGCGUUACUCGCAGAAGAAGCACCGGCUAACGCCGUGCCAGCAGCCGCGGUAAUUC